CAACGGGGAAGGAAUGUGAACACAUGGGUCUCUAAUGAAACCGGAAAACAUGGCUAGAUGCGUCUGCCACACGUCUCUGACAUAAAAUAUAAGAGGCGCCGCUGUGAUUGCUGCAGGUGGAUCAGCGUUCAGACAUGGAGAGCCACUGAGGAGGUGCUGUGUUCAAGAGGCCGGUAUAAAACCACCCAGUGCCUUUUCUUCACCUACCUGUGGCACGUCCACGUGGGAGCGAGUCACCAGGCCGCACACCCGCUCCACUUUGUGAGGGCUCCUCCUGCUGGUCACUCGCACCCGGGACACUCCUUCCUCCUCCUGGUUCUGCAGGACACAGACGGAUCAGGAUCAGAUCAGAGAGAAAACACCAGCGCCUUCUGGAAAAGCCCAGCUGCUACUUGUGAAGGGAACAGUCACAUCUGAUCUAAAUGGAAAAUUAAACUCCGGUGGUGUUUUAUGGCAACAAAAAAAGCAACUGAAGUCAAAAUAAAUCACAACAUGAGGACAAAUACUCUCUCUCAUAGAAGUUUAUAAACAGAGUAUGAAGAACCUCAAACAUCUCCCCUUCGACUUCAGACCACACGGACCCUGAGCUGACAGCAGAGGGCGGCCUGUGGCGCUCAGCGUCGCUGGAGCCAAGUCUCAGAAAGUUUUCCUGCUCCUCCGAAAGGGGCCUGACGCUUUCUAGACAAGCUGUGCUUUCUCUCACAGCAGAUCCUUCCAAAUCAAACAAAAGCUGCUCCGGGGCCCGGGCCGAACAGACGACGCACUCCUCUAAAAACACACGCGGUCCCGAGCGCUGGUGCGGCUGCGCUGGAGAGGAGUCAUCAGGUAAACCUGCAUCGUUACACGCUCUUGGGUCAUUUACUAGCAUCAAGGCAUUAAUAAUCAGCUCCUAUAUGAGAUCAGCUGAACUGCUGGAACAGCUUCUUUGCUCCUGGCCACCCUCACCCGCUUCUCUGCACCAAAUCGGGGAAUUUGCAGACUCAUUUAUUUUAGCUCCCAUCCUCCACUCAGGUGACAGCAUGGCCAGAAUACUGAUGAGCACCACACUGGGUGUCCAUUAGGCAGCCCGCUCUCUCAAACCUCCCACUCUGACUGCCGCAUGCCUCCGUCGGCUCUGUGCUGUGUCCGGGGCCAGACGCACAACUGGGAUGCGGAGGGAGACGCACGGGGAGGGAUGAGCGGCCAUGCUGUCCCGAAUUAGACGCUAGACUGGGCGGAUCAGGCGAACGUAGCGUGGUAGAUUAGGGUUCAAGCCACAGCCACACUUCGUGGUUUAGCUCCUCUACUGACAGAUUAUGAACACAUGUCAGUGUAAUGAGCAGUCGUUUGCUCAGUUGUUGAUUAAAUCGGAGAUUACCAUAGAGGAGUUCCUCUAUUCUGGAGAUGAGAUUUUUGGGUUUUAAACAGAUUCUGCUAAAAGUAAAGGUAAACAACUGAAACAACAGCAGCAGCAGUCUGUGUGUGUGUGUCUGUGUGUGUGUGUGUGUGUGUGUGUGUGUGUGUGUGUGUGUGUAAGAGAGUGAGCGAGAGAGUAAAAUGCUCUUAAAGUGCAGAUAGAAUUCAUCUGCGAUGUUGUUUCACUUCAUUCACUGAACCACACAAAGUGGAGUUGGUUGCAGUUGCCCUGUUCAACUGACCGUGUAUAAUCCAGUUCAGCUUUAGCACAGACAUGUCAAAAACAUACUGCCAUUACGUGAUUGACUGGAGGGAGGGGAUCAAUCUUAUAAAGGAAUAAUGUCAGAUUAAGGGGAGUUUGGACUGAACUGUGUCACUUUAUCACCUACAACUCUGUAAAAACACUUUAGACCGGGUUACGAAAUAACACAUUACAGUUCACUGCUGAGAUGCUCCUCAGCAAACGUCCCAAUAAGGUUUAAUCCUUUAAAUUCCGUCGGCGUCCUCUGUCGCAUACUAAAAAUACUCUCAUCCGCCGUGUCACCGCAAACACUUGUUUUAAUGAGCGCAGCCCACUGAUGAGCAAACGCUAAUCAGUGCUCUUUUGACUCCGUCUAAUUUCCACUUCUCCCUCAACCUGCGCCUCGCUCCCCCCCGACUUCCCCCCCGACAAUCACUCGCCAGGUCGGAAUCGCAGCCGCCAUGACUCAGACUCCCCGCGUGGGAGUGCGAGGCGCGCCGGUAGUGACGCCCGCUGACGCCAGCAGGCGGCGGCGUGGCGGCACGUGCGACGCCACAUACAGUUGGAGCAAGUAGCAUAUUUUCGCCAUAAUCUAUAACGUGAAGUGGUAAAAAUACCUCCUCCGCGUCUUCCUUCACAACAGUUUGUUCUGCGUUCAGCUGCAAGGUCACCUCGUAACACUCUUGAAUAUCUGUGAGAAAAAAGACAAACAAUAAGGACUUUCAUUCUUCAUGUGGCUCAUUGUAAACAUGAAGAUGAGCUUUUUAUACCGUCCUGCUGUACAAAAGCCCAGACACUGAUGUCACUGUGUGAGAUACAGUACGCUUCCUGUUCCUCUAAAGUUUCCCUGUGCGAGCGAGCGAGUGAUCGAUCAAUCACGGCCACUUUGGGAGAAGUCUACACUCGGCGGUACAGUGGGUGAGAGUGUGGAGGUGGGAGUCGUCCGCGUACAUGGAAGUUACAUCUCCGCAUUUGCAAGUGCUCCUCUCAUCUCGCCGCGGACUCCAUGACUCAGGUACUGACUGAGCAAAUCAUCACGUCCGUGUCUGCGAAAGCCCACAUUAGCCUCUACUAAUGUGGGCUAAUAAUGAAAUCCAGCGUUUGUGCUGGUGCGACCGCGUCUGGGGGAACUUGAACAGGUGUGUGGAGUCAUACAGGAGCGGGUCCAGUGGGUAUUAACGGUUUCGGGGGCCUGAUGACAAAGCUACUGACUCGCGGUGUCUCAAGUAGCUCGCCACAAACAGCGGUGAGGGAGGAAUGUCCUGACAGUGCAGCGCUGCUCCUUCCCCUCUGGUUUCAGACCUCUCCUCCGCUCCGUCGCCACUCAUCACCUCCUGACUCGCUACGCGCUCACGCCCGGUGGUCACCUAUUGAGUGACAGCCGCCUGACGAGAACGCGCUGAGACAAUUGUGCUGAUGUCACACGCAGGCGCCGCUCUGCUGACAUAAAGAGGUUGCCCGAGAGUUCAUCAACUUCCCAAAGUCCAGUGUCAGGACAUGACGGGGUGUUUCAGAACGUGCCUCUUUCCCGAAGUUCUGUAGCUGUGUGUGUGUGUGUGUGUGUGUGUGUGUGUGCGCGCGACAGAGACCGAGCGUCAGUAUGUCCCAACAAGACACUGUGAGAACAAAAGUGUAAGAAUGGAGCAUGUGACUCAUCGCUGUGUCUGAAUGUGGAGGAGUGAAGCCAUGUGUGGGCAGAGGAGUUUGCUGCCCAGCUGACUAAAGUGCAAGCUCACGUACACAGAACUCCUAUAGGCGCGCGCGUGCGCACACACACACACACACACACACACACACACACACACACACACACACACACACACACACACACACACACACACACACACACACACACACACACACACACACACACACACACACACACACACACACCAUCCUGUCACGCUGGCCUGGUCCCCAGUGCGUUUAUCAGCGCCGGCCAGCUGCUGGAGCUGGAGACACCACUUAUCGCAGCCCCGAGAGGGAAUCUAAACCCUCAACUCGGCGAACCGGCGAGCUGAAAAGGAGGGUGACGACUCUCUGCGGGUGCGUCACCCUCCGUUUUGCAUAUCGGCGCCGGCGCCUCCGCCCCGAACCCGCUGCGUGCGCUGGGUCCUGCGGGCCUCGCUGCGCUCCCAGGCCGCAUCACCUGGCUCGCGUCCGCGCAGCUCACUCUCCUAAUUACACCCUUCGUCUAUUCCUGGAGGAGCGAACGGGAGAAUGAGCGAAUAAGUCCUCAAUCAGCAUCUUGCAGCGUUUUCAGAUUAGGAUUCACAGUCACACAAAGUACAGAGAGGCGUUCUAACAUCUGUGAUUUACCAAAAAAAACCUCCUCUGAACUUGUCCAACCCUCACAGACCACAGAAAUUCUUGGCCACGGAGCAAAACACACAAAACAAGGCAGACGGCUCUUUACUCCCAGAUCUCCUUUUGAUGUUGGGACUAUUCUGGGAUGGCCUGGUCAGCUCUCAGCCUUUUGUGUGUUACAGGGAGUUUCCUGCACCUGAAUGCAACACAAGUGACUCCAGCCUCCUCUAUUUGUCAUGUACCUAUUCAACCGGACCAAAGUCGUCACGGUGUCGGUCGCCCGGGUGAAUCACACACACAAACAACGUGCCUGUGUGUCUUUAUAUGGUGAUGAGCAAGCCACAACUCACCAGAAAAACGCAAAACACGCAAAACUAGGUCACGCUUUUACGGCAGGGCCAACAACUCGGCCCGUGUCCCUGGCGCCCGGUAUUCAGGGCCCGCUGUGAUAUGCUGGAACAAAAGGCUGCACGCACGGUUGAGGCCACUUUUGUUCACGACUGUGCAACCGUGCAGGCAUCACACAAGUGGCCUGUGGCGAACUUUCCCACGAUGCCUCCAAGGUGGGAAUCUCUGCAGUGGGAUGUUGGCAGAGUCCAAACUAAUUUGAGGAUUAGGUUGUUUUUUUUGUUUUUUUUAGAAAGUCCAAACAGAACCGGGUCACGUGGUCCCAGGCAUGCGGGCCAAACGGGAGAGGAGAAGCGCGUGAGUAAUGUUAUUCCUGUGAAGCGGUUCGAUGAGAACCACAUGUUGCUCUGCACCUACUGUACGACUCGCAGACCACAGGCCUCCUCUCCCUCUGCCUCGUCCAGCACUUUGCUUUGCUGUCGGCCCUCGUUGAACAUUCCUUGUGAGGAAUGUGCGGAAUCCUGAUUUGGGGAAACUAAUCCUCUGAGUGCGUGUCCCUCACUGGAAAAGUAACAACAUGGCCUCUGUUAUCAUGAUGCCAAAUGUUAUGUGAUGUUAUUUGUAAAACCCAUUUAAAUGCAGAAACUCCUGUCUGUAUUGUAGCGAGGCUGAAGAUGCUAACUAAUAUUUAUAAUAUUAACCCAACCUUACUGGAUAUGAGACAAUGCUCAUCAGUCUGAGAUCACUGUUACCUACUGCCCUCAGCUCUUCCAUCUGAACUUGAAUAGUUUUUAGACUGAUCAGUCUCGUUUUGCUUCUGUCCCGACUAUUGUGUGUUACAGGAAUCCAACACAAGGUUAAAAUAAAAUGGCUCAUGGUGAAAACACUGAUGAAAUUGGUUCCUUGUAUUCAAAUGCUUGGAUCAGAGUGUACGUUCUGAACUCAAGGGAAAGAACUAAUCCCACCACAUCUGCACCAGAAGCUGCACUUCACGACGAACCCACUGUCAUUUGAACGCCGCUUACCCGUCUGAAGCAUAUGUCAGCGGUAGAAGCAGCCACACUGAAACUCUCUGACCGCCGCUGGGGGGGAGCCCUUCCCCCUCGCAUCCCCAGCGGCGACGCAGCAGUGGGUCAGCAAGCAUCAUUAUGACACGGCGGUGGUAAUUAGCAGGACCACUCAAGCAUUCGUUAACCGGAGUAAUGUGCUGUGUGCGCUUUGGAGGGAAACUGGGCUCAAGGUUCACACGUUGGUCAUGAAGGUGUAGCCGACUACAAGUAGGAAACUGCAAAUAGCUCCGGUGACCUUCUGCUGCUUUUACUGUAACGAUGAGUCGCCGGUUUCACUCGAUAAGCGAUGACCUGUUCAAUUUCCGUGACAUCGUUGGGCCAAGGAGGAGUCAGUGGGAGAGUUGUUAUUUCAUGGUUUGUCUGAGCGCAGAGAAACUCCUAUGGACCGACUGUGUCGGGUGCGACUUUACAGGCGGAAUACGUUAACAGGGGGGGGGGGGGACGUCACACAGCCGAGCUUUGUGAGCAAACUCAAAGGCCUCUUUCAUAAGACGUAAUUGGGAAACAAAUAAACUCAAUUAGCCUCGGACACAAACCGGACUGCGUCUCCAUCCUGUGUCUGCCUGCAGCUGAGGCUGCAACACGAGAGAACACCAGCCUUAUAUAACGCGACUACAGGAGGUUAGUGAGGAAGUUCACGGCUGAGUUCAGGCUACAUGACAGACACGCUUUGUGUCUUCCUCACCCAGAAGGGCCUGGAACAGCUGGCUGCCCAGGAUGGAGGACACUUUGCCCACGCUGGUCUUCAGGGGCUGCUCCUCCGGACCCGUCAGGUUGGCCUGGUACUGACUGAGCAGCCUCACCGCCCGCUCUGUGUCUGCGAGACAGAAGGGAGGCAAACAUCAAGAGGGUGCAAAAGCUACUUACGGGUGCAGAUAAUAGGCAGCGUCCCGUUAAACGAGUAUUUGUCCUGCAGCUCUGCAAACAGAGAGCUGUUUGUUAAUCUCUCCUGCAGAAGCGCGUUAAAGGCAUUUUCCGCUGCGCUGGCUGUUGAACCCGGUGGGUGGCGAGGAACACGGCGGAGAGAGAUGAUGCACGCCGCGGAGGUAAACCUACUGCUUUCACCGUUUCCUCCCUGAUCCUGAACAUUUGCGGCGAGAAAAACCUCAACACAGUCAACGGCGGCCCCGGAAGUUGCACAAUUUCCAGUUACAGUACUUUUACCUUUUUCAUUCCCUGUGGACAGAAACACCCGCGUUUCUCCGGGGAUUUAAAGUCGUUGUAUUGAAUCAGUUAAAAACAUGAAGUGCAUAAAGUUUAAAGAACAACGCGACGGUAUAAACGCAAAGACUUUCACCGACGGGAGAUGAAGACGUCACGUGUAACGGUACUCACCGUAUUUAUGCACCAUCGCGUUAGCAACUUCAAAAGUCAUGUAAACAGUUUGGGGGGUUUUAGAAAACACAAAUAUUACGGUAAUAAUCCCGGAUAAAUAAAAAAGCUGUGGCUCCCUUCUCACUAACAAGUGAAUGUUUGGUUUUAAAAGCCGUCGCUGGACCCUCCCCGUCCGUCGGAGCGUGAUCCACGCCCACAGACAGUGAAGAUGUGACCGGAGGAAACUGUUCGGUUCAGGUCAACUUUCCAGAAGUUUGGAGCGAAACGGUCCCGGGUCGUCUUCCUCGUCUUAGCGCACGGCGGGUUUAAAUGGCGCCUCAUUUGACCACGCGGGAACAAAUGAAUAUGUUUAUAAACGUAUCUUCAUGACUGCAUCAUCAGUAGUCAUCAGUCUAUUAAGGAAGCUGUUUAUAACACGCGGUCUAGCUUCUAUCCGAUGAGGCGCCUGCAACAUUUGAUUAGCAACGAGCGCCAUCUUGUGUUGUAACGGCGCUACUACAGGCAGCGACCGGAACCGGAAACUGCGCUCUGACUCAUCUGAACCUGGCACGCGCCUUAAGUGAAAAGACGUAACCUUCAUGUUAUACAAAACUAAAGAUUAUGAAAACUAAACGUUUGCUAUGUGUCUAAAACUCCUGUAUUUAAUGAGUGAAGUUUUCACACAGAAAUCUGACUUUUCUUUUAGUGUUUAAAAAUAGUUUUACUGUUUCUGGCUCAGGUUACAGAUCUGUAUUUUUAUAUUUUGCAGUGAAUAAAAAAACAAACAAAUACACACAGUGACAGAACCUGACAAGAGGAAAUUCAGUGCCAUAUUAUAGAAAUACAUUUAUACAUUUUGCAGUUUUCAGUAUGAACUAACGUAUGAAGUACACAUGAAAAGACAAACCCAGAAAACCCUGACCCUACAAAAACAAAAAGCUGCCGUCCACUAGCACAGUUGACCUUUGACUCCCAUUUCAUUUACUUAAACAAUAUUCGUGGCCUCCGAACACAUCACAUGUUAAUUCUCCUCCUGACUCAGGUCCAAACAG